rnacentral:rRNA from 1 species
GCAAAUUGACACCGUAACUUCGGGAGAAGGUGUGCCGCUGGCGGUUAGUGACUUCGCGUCACGAAGCUGUCGGUGGUCGCAGUGAAAUGGCGGUUGUGACUGUUUACUAAAAACACAGGACUCUGCGAAGUCGUAAGACGACGUAUAGGGUCUGAUGCCUGCCCGGUGCUGGAAGGUUAAGGGGAUAUGUCAGCGCAAGCGAAGCAUUGAACCGAAGCCCCAGUAAACGGCGGCCGUAACAAUAACGGUCCUAAGGUAGCGAAAUUCCUUGUCGGGUAAGUUCCGACCUGCACGAGGGCAUAACAACAUCCGCACUGUCUCGACCAGGGACUCAGCGAAAUUACAUUGGGGGUGAAGAUGCCCUCUACCCGCGGAAAGACGGAAAGACCCCAUGAACCUUUACUGCAACUUGGCAGUGAUUUUCGGGUUGUUCUGCGUAGGAUAGGUGGGAGGCUUUGAAGCCGGGCUUCCGGGUUCGGCAGAGCCAACGUUGAAAUACCACCCUGAAUAAUCUGGAAAUCUAACCUGCGCCCAUGAUCUGGGCGAGGGACACUGCCUGGUGGGCAGUUUGACUGGGGCGGUCGCCUCCUAAAUUGUAACGGAGGCGUGCGACGGUUCCCUCAGGCUAAUUGGAAACCAGCCGUAGAGUGCAAACGCAUAAGGGAGCUUUACUGCGAGACUGACAAGUCGAACAGUUGCGAAAGCAGGUGUUAGUGAUCCGGUGGUACCACAUGGAAGGGCCAUCGCUCAUCGGAUAAAAGGUACUCUGGGGAUAACAGGCUGAUCGCGCCUGAGAGUUCACAUCGGCGGCGCGGUUUGGCACCUCGAUGUCGGCUCAUCGCAUCCUGGGGCUGGAGCAGGUCCCAAGGGUUUGGCUGUUCGCCAAUUAAAGCGGUACGCGAGCUGGGUUUAAAACGUCGUGAGACAGUUUGGUCCCUAUCUUCCGUGGGCGCAGGACACUUGAGAGGAGCUAUCCAUAGUACGAGAGGACCUGGAUGGACGAACCUCUGGUGCUCCGGUUCACGCCAGUGGCAUAGCCGGGUAGCCAUGUUCGGAACAGAUAACCGCUGAAGGCAUAUAAGCGGGAAGCUGGCCUCAAGACUAAGUGUCCCUGACGCAAGUCACUAAAGGCCCCUCGAAGACUACGAGGUUGAUAGGCUCGGUGUGGAAGCGCUGCGAGGCGUGGAGCUAACGAGUACUAAUAGGCCGUGCGACUUGACCUC